rnacentral:rRNA from 1 species
UACGUAGGGUGCAAGCGUUGUCCGGAAUUAUUGGGCGUAAAGAGCUCGUAGGCGGUUCGUCGCGUCGGCUGUGAAAACCCGGAGCUCAACUCCGGGCCUGCAGUCGAUACGGGCGGACUAGAGUUCGGCAGGGGAGACUGGAAUUCCUGGUGUAGCGGUGGAAUGCGCAGAUAUCAGGAGGAACACCGGUGGCGAAGGCGGGUCUCUGGGCCGAUACUGACGCUGAGGAGCGAAAGCGUGGGGAGCGAACAGG